CGUUGUUCCAAGCGUCGCUGUCGCUGGUCCCACCCGCGGGCAGCUGUUACCGCUUGGCUUUCCGCCGCCUGUCAGCGCUUUCGUCUGGUUAGUCGGUUCUUUUGGAGGUCAACGCUGCGGAGAGGAACGACCAGCAAAAAUACGGUGGAGCUGAGCAACGGCCGCCGGGUUCAGUCUGCCUCUUCCAAGCUCGCCCCCCAUUCAUCGCGGGAGGUGCCUAAUCGAGCUCCACCGCCUCCGCCUUUGUGCCGCCGGGUUCAGUCUGCCUCUUCCAAGCCCGCCCCCAUUCAAGGCGGGAGGUGCCAAAUCGAGCUCCACCGCCUCGGGCUUUGGCGCCGACGGCGGCAAGGAGCGGCACACGGGGAGGCAGCGCAGCGAGGCACUACCCCAGUGCUCCAACACCGAGGCGACGACCAGCGGCCGCUGGCCGUGCUGCCAUUCGCCCCGAAGUUGUUCUGUUCCUACUGCGGCUGCCGCUGUGCCGCAUCGACGAGGGGCUCCACCACGCGGACGUCGUUUGCGGCAGUGGGUCAGGUGGUGAUUGGCCUCACCCUCCCACCUCUGGUUGCAGCGCAGCAGCAUCUUUGGCGUGUGUCGCGUCCGUCGGCACAGCUAGCUCCUCCGAAUCAUGGUUCAGAUGUGCACUUCAAGUGUUUGUUGGAAUGCCUAAAGAGAGAUUGUGUAUAAUAAAUCAGCGAGCAAUACCCAAAUACAAGCCAAUGGGCAUGUUGAUAGCCAUGUGUACUGGGAUCCUUUCGCAGGCGUAUUUUGUACUCCCUCCAUCACCUUCCUCAUUAUCCAAUCUGCCGGUCUAGAACAGAUUGCGCCUCCCAUUUCCAUAGGAUCGUUGUAAAUAGAUACGGUUGGAGGAUAAUAUAUAGAUGGAAAUGGUUCCAACAUCUACAUGAAUAUAUGCAACCCUGCCCCUUUUUCCUUUCAGCAGGUUCUCAAGUGAAUUGCUUGUGGUGCUAACAUGGUACAAAUAUUUAAUUUCAAAGAUUCUUAUUUGGGUAGAACAAGUAGUAUAUUUCUUUCACUUUUCUGUUAAUGUUACGAUGAAUUCAUUUUAGCUGUCGUUUGUCUCGCGAUUUAUUUCCUUCACGUGCCUUAGUGCCUUCAAAGAAUUUAUCUUUCGCUUGCUCGCAAAAAAGGUUAUCUAUUAUGCAGUCUUGGACUAAAUACAUCAAUUUUCUCCGGUUGUGCAAAUGUAAUAUAUGACUGAUUCAUACUGAAGACAAAACAUUUUAGAAACGUGUAGUAACACUCGGGUUCUAUCUAUUUCUUAGAUGCGUUUUCUUUCUUGCAUCACGUCCGAAUGGUAGCAGUUCGCGAAAAUCUUAGAUUGCGUGAACCAGCGUCAUUUUAUCAUGGAAAAUAAACAAAAAAAAUUAUAAACUACGAGUGCACCAAGCCAAAUUAUUAAUGCCGAGUUGCUAGAGGAAGGAGGGAAGAGAAAUUAUCACGUAUUUUUUACCACUGUGCUCGAAUAACGUCUGACGAACCAGUGUUCUUGCAGGCCAUCAGAAACCUACUGGCUUGCAAAUCGGGUGCUUAUCAUUUUUUAGGGGAUUGAAUAUUCAUUGGGCUAGAGGGGAGGGAAUGCUUGAGAAUCUUGUGAUCUUGGAGUAUUGAAAUUUCUUGCUCUUUUUUUUGCUGGUUUGAUCCGAACACGCAUUACGGUGGAAUGGAGGUUGAUUUGAGCAAAUUUCACUUGGUUCUGCUUGAGUCCCCACAAUGUUGGGAUGAUGUGUUGUACUGGAAUAUGGUGUUCGUGUGUAUGGAAAUGCGCUUCCACUUGGUACUUCUUAAUCCCCCACAAUUUGGGAUGAUGUGUUGUACUGGAAUAUGUUGUUCGUGUGUAUGGAAAUGCGGGAGCCUCAAGCAUCCGUAAUUGCUCUCGCUUGAACUGGUGUAGAAUAUUAGGAAAAUUUAAGUGAAAAUAAUUGUCAUUAAGUACAUAUGUUUUUAUUUUGCCAUUCUUCUUUGUGUGAAUAUUUACUCUUAAUUUUUAGGCACAAGAAAACUAAGUUGCGUCGUAAAGCAAUACUGGAUACACUACACUCCUUAACCAACUUUGGUCAGCAGCAGAUUGUGUGGUGUAUGUUAUGUUUUCUGUCAUUUGGGGGUUCAUUUCCUCCUUUCAUGUGUUAUUUGUUUUCUUACCCAGUUGUAGGUCUGGUGGCGUUGUGGUUGUUGGUAAUGGAAUGAUUCCAGGCCGCUUGAGGUUCUUGCCCUCAUGUUUACAGCAUCGUCAUCUGCGCUGCCAUUGCCUACGUCUCCUACUAGGUUAAUACUCUUACAACAUGAGUUUCUAGCUCCAAUUUGUUGAAAAGGCAUGGUUUGUAAGCAGUGAAAGAGCCCCGCCAAAGAAUAUUAACUCAAAAGAAGAAAAAAAAUUGAGAAUUUACAGCAGGAGAGUUUCCUACCGUGUACUUUAUUAUCAAAAGAUUAUUAUAUAAAGAGGCCUAUGUACAAGGUCCACCAACGUCGAACCCAAAAAGUCCUAACCUAACAGAUAGAGAAACAACUUUGUGUCAACAUUUAUUGACUUACAAGAUAGAAAAGGGAGAGUUGCUACAGAAAUAUAUGGGCGAUCAGGUCCUUGAGUGGUGAUUGGAGGUUUUCUUUGACUCUGCAGCCAAUGAUGGUGAGGACUUGGGAAAAUUGUAUCUGAAUAUUAGUAUAACUCUCUAGAUAUUGCUGCCUAUGAAAAAACAUGUUGCUUCUGCACGUGAUUUGAGCUCAGAGGGUUAGGUGUACUAUUUUCAGUACUUUGAAGUUAUGUCUAUUAAAAGUACUCCCUCCAUCUCAAAAUAAGUUGCUUAACUUUUUGUAGAUACGGAUGUCUAUAACUAAAAUGUGUCUAUAUACUUUCAUAUAUAGACUAAGUUGUGCAAGUUAUUUUGAGACGGAGAUAGUAGUUUGUCUGUCCAUAGAUUUGAGCUAUUUUUCACAUCAUGCACUAUUGUUUUAACCUAUAAGCAUUGUACCAUACACUUACCAUGUGUACUACUGCAAUACAAGGUUAUUCAAAGACAGAAUUGACACCGUUAUGUAUAAUAUGUUGUUAGACAAAAGAAUAGCCACUCCAAAAAAUUAAACGUUGGUACCAGAGGACGGCGCAGCAAAGCGCGCUGGGUCCAUCUAGUGUAAACCAAAAGACAAAGGUGGCUUAGGGGUUCUUAAUAUGAAAACUCAAAACCAAGGUCUUCUGCUAAAAUUUUUGGACAAAUUCUAUAACCAGAAGGAUAUUCAGUGGGUGAAACUUAUUUGGUCUACAUAUUACCAGACUUCUAUAUCUCAUGCUACUAAUGCUUGUGGGUCUUUCUGGUGGAAGGCUGUUAUGAAAUUAUCACCGAUUUUCAGAGGAAUUGCACAUUGCAAAAUAGGUAAGGGAGACACAUCCCUGUUUUGGAAAGAUGAAUGGAGUAAUGGAAUUUUGCAUGAUCUAUACCCAUGUCUAUUCUCCUAUGUGCAAAAUGAAGAUAUUUCAGUUAAGGAAUUCUGCUCUACAAUUGAUAUCUCUGAUAUUUUUCAUCUACCAUUAUCUUCGGAAGCUUUCCAACAAUUUCAGCAAAUACAACAAUUCACACAGCAGCUAAAUCUAUCUCAAAGUAAUAAUGAUGUCUGGACAUUCCAAUGGGGGGAUUCCUAUACUUCCAGGUGUGGAGGAAACUCUGGAGCACUUAUUCUUCGCAUGUCCUUUUAGUACCUCAUGCUGGUGUACAUUAAAUAUUACAUGGAAUGGAGGUUUCGAAAGAAUUGAUAAGAUUACUGAGGCCAAAGCAAAUUUCCAGGGGAAGCUUUUCUUUGAAGUAUUUGUUAUAGCUGCUUGGGGGAUUUGGAAAGAAAGAAACAAUUGGAUAUUUAAAAAUAUAGUUCCCUCAAGAGCCUCCUGGAAGGAAAGAGUAAUAGCUGAUUUAAGUUUGUUAAGGUUUAAGGUUAACCAAAACCUACAAAGCACAAUCUCCUCUUAUAUAAGUAGAAUUUGAUUCAGCAGUUUAAACCUUUGUAAAGUGGGUGUAUGCACCCGAGAUGAUGUAAAUAUUAUGGUUUUAAUAUAGUGCAGUAGGAGCCUCUCCUACUAUUUA